ACGCGAAGACCCCGCAAGGGGUUUGUAGCGUGGCAAACGGAUGAGUAACGCGUGGGCGACCUACCUUCGAGUGGGGGAUAACCUUCCGAAAGGAGGGCUAAUACCGCAUGACAUGCUCUGUUUAGAUACAGGGACAUCAAAGCCGGGGAUCGCAAGACCUGGCGCUUGACGAGGGGCCUACGUCCGAUUAGCUAGUUGGUGGGGUAAUGGCUCACCAAGGCGACGAUCGGUAUCCGGCCUGAGAGGGCGGACGGACACACUGGGACUGAGACACGGCCCAGACUCCUACGGGAGGCAGCAGUAGGGAAUUGUCCGCAAUGGGCGCAAGCCUGACGACGCAACGCCGCGUGGAGGAUGAAGACCUUCGGGUCGUAAACUCCUUUCGACCGAGAUGAAUACCUUUCGACCUAAUACGUCGAGAGGCUGACAGUAUCGAGGGAAGCAGCCCCGGCUAACUCCGUGCCAGCAGCCGCGGUAAUACGGGGGGGGCAAGCGUUG
rnacentral:rRNA from 1 species